CGGGGCGCGGCUCCGCGACCGGGACCGCCCCCCGCACACGGGCGCAGGUGCUGCCCCGAUGCCCCCGGCGCGCCCAAGGCGCUGCACCUGCCUGGGGAGGGGUGUCGGUGCCCGCUGUUGCUUCCCCUCCCUGUGCCCGGGAACAAGGAAGCAGCUCCAACUACCUUCAGCCAUCACUCGGCAGCGUAUUUCCCUGCUGGCACUUUCCCCACGCCCUGUGUCCUCAGGUCCCCCACCUUCCAAGGCGCUGGGCUGCUGGUUUUGGACAUGACUCGUGGCACGGGAGGGCUGCCCCUGCUGCUGCUGAGCCUUGCUCUGCUGGAUCUCCCACUGGAGACCAUGGCACUGCUGCCCAAAACCAGCUCAGGUACUGCAGCCACCUUCCCUUCCUCUCGUCCUGCAACCUCCACCCCAGAGAUGCCAAUGGAUGCCUCCACAUCCAGUGCUUCUACAGCUCAAGGGAGCAGCCUGGCAGCCUCCAACAUCACCACACCACAGGAAAGGGGCAACACAGCUCGUAGCACUCCUGUGUCACUUGGGCUGCAACCUACCACCACCAGCAGUACCCCAGCAGGGCUGGAACCCACCACCAGCACCACCCCAGCAGGGCUGGGGCUCACCACCACCAGCACCACCCCAGCAGGGCUGGGGCUCACCACCACAAGCAUGCCAACUCAAACCUCCGUGGCCAUGACACCCAACUGUGACAAGACUACCACUUUCUCAUCAGCGGGGACCAGCACGGCCCUGGCUGUCAGCUCAUUUGGAGUUGAAAUGAGCAUGCUGCCUCCCCUCACCUCUACUCUUCUCUCCUCCACCGGGGUGGGCACCACGCUUGGCACCAGCCCCCACCAAGGGCCAGCCAUGACCACACUGCUUCGCAGCACAUCCCCAGGGACCAGCACUACCUUUUCUUCCACCACAACAGAAGUGACAGACACUUCAGAUGGGCGCUUGACAACCCCAUCAGACACCAUGGUCUCCAGUGAUACCACCACAGAGGUCCCUGGGAGCACCCCUGUCCCCAGCCAGCCAGCUGGGACCACACCUGGGACCACCCCUGGUACCUCUGCCCCACCAGAACCAGAAACCCCCAGUGACACUGCAGAGACCACUCCCAUGGGUGUGACAGCAACCAUGUCCCCAGCUCUCCCUACCUCCUCAACACCUGUGGAGAGCUCAACACUGCUGCCUACCACUGACUCCACCAGCACAGCCACUCUCCUUUCCUCCAGCCCUGAAACAGAAGCCUCCACUUCAGAGGAGUCCAGCACAUUCACAGAGACUGGCAACACCUCACCUCCCACUGAGCCUCCUUUUACCACAACUACAGAAGAUUCAGAGGAGUCCUUGGCAACCCUGGCAGACACCACAGCCAGCCCUGUUAUCAGCACACCUGACCCCAUGAGCACCUCCUCUUCUGUCUACCCAGACAGCACCACCCCUGACAUCUUCCCCUCAACGAUGGAGUCAUCUCCAGGCACUGAGCCCUCUUCCCCUGCCACCAGCUCAGCCCAGACCUCAGAGGCCACUAUGCUCAGCACACCUACAGACCUGCCAACGCUGCCACCAGUCUGCCCCUCUGGCUUAUCCAACACCAGUGCAUCUCACCUCUUUCUGUCACUGCGGCUAACCACCCCUCUGGACCUGGGGAACACCACGGUGCAGGAGCUGGUGUUGUCCAAGCUCCGUGAGGACCUGCAGACAGCGUUCCCGUGUGCUGGCCUGUCACUGGCAUGGAGGGGGAAGAGAAGGACUUGACUGCUGCCCCUCACCCAGCCUGCUCCCACCUUGACUGCCAAGACAACUGCCCCCAGCUCCUCACUCCAUGGUGGUGCAGCCCCUGGGGAAUCCCAUACAGCUCCUCUUGAACCUGGGGCUUCCUGUCCUUCACUCUGUACCCCCAGUGCUCCUCCUGCCUCUUUCCACAGCCUGUCUGAAGAGCCUGAGUCCUUCCACCACCCUGCUCCAGACCUGAUUCCUCUGGUAGGACCCUCUCCAGCAAUGCUGGGGGUCUGGGAGAAGGGAACCCCAUGGGACUGGGCUUUUACAUCUGGGACUGAGCUGACUCAGCCAUCAAAGCCACCCUGGGGGCAGAGGAAUGAGAGGAAGGAGACCUGAAGCCUCCAGUACUGCCCAAGGCUCACCUGUGGUAUUGCUGACAGAGGAGAACACCCGUGCUGGGCAGUAAAAAGAAAUUCCAUGUUUUGUGUGCUGAAGUGAUGACUUCUUUAUUUUCCAAGUUGCCUUUCCCAAUUUUCAGCUUUGCCAUCUAUUGGAGGUACCGGUGAGGAAAACUGAGUCCCAAGAGCUUUUAGUGGAGAGACGGGCUCAGUGCUGUCCCCUCCCACCAGGGGCUGCUGCAGACAUUCCCAAGGAUGGCUCGGCACCCCGAGAGACUGGUGGUCUCUGCUCGGCACUCCACAGCUGCGGGGGCAACCCUGUGCACUGUGGGGCUGUAGAAAUCCCGUGGGCUGUGCUCCUUCCCUGUUUUUUCCAGUCCCCAACUAAGGAGACGGCUGCAACAUCUGUCCCCCUGCAGCAAAGUCAUUUAUUAACUGAUUAAUUAGCCUGAUAAAAUCCAACUGAAGCAAUUAUUAGCCUAAGCAAGCCACCUUGCCUGGAGAUUGAAAACUGAAAUAAUUAGCAAAAUAGCCUUGUUGCGUGUCAGGGGUUGUUUUUGGCUGAUCCCUGCUUCUUACUGGCAGGCCUCACUGCCCCUGCACAGGGAGGGCUGGGAGAGGGUGUCUGAGGGUGUAGGAUUCCUAACCUGGGGACUUCUCUCAGCCUACCUGGAUUGUCAGCUGGCUGGGAAGGAGCCAGCAGCUGGACAGGAUGGGGAGACACCGUGGGAUCACCCAGCUGCCUGCCAGUUCACAGGGCCUGGGAGAGGCUGGGCUGGAGGCUGUGCCCAGGCAGCUUGUCAGGAUGCUCCCAUUUAGGGUGCCCCUUGCAUUCCAGGGUGGCCCCGUUGUUCUUUAGGAUGCUGCCUGGCUUUUGUGGGCUUGUUGGACCCAGUGAGACUGAGAGAGGCACCUUAGCAGCUGGGCAAGGAACUGGGGAGCAGGGCAAAGACUGUUGGAAGGGGUCCCUGUGCUGGCUGCCUGGUGGGGUGCUGGGAAAGAAAUCCUUGUGGUCUGCCUACGCCUUGGAGCUGGGCCAAGAGUCCUCCCACGUCGCAUCCCACUGGGCUGUUUUCUCCGGCUGUUGAAUCCAUAACUUCAGACCCCGGGACAUGGCCGGGUGCCAAGGCCGGGGUAAUGGAGCCAAACUGCGUCACAAAGGGAGGAAAAGGUCCUGAAGUGCUGGGAUGAAAAGGUGACCAGGGUACUCACUGUUCUCUGCUGGCACAGCCGCCUUCCACUGUUAUCGUGGUUGAGGGGCCAUGGG
rnacentral:lncRNA from 1 species